UGGGUAUAUACCCAAUAAUGGGAUGGCUGGGUCAAAUGGUAUUUCUAGUUCUAGAUCCCUGAGGAAUUGCCACACUGACUUCCACAAUGGUUGAACUAGUUUACAGUCCCACCAACAGUGUAAAAGUGUUCCUAUUUCUCCACAUCCUCUCCAGCACCUGUUGUUUCCUGACUUUUUAAUGAUUGCCAUUCUAACUGGUGUGAGAUGGUAUCUCAUUGUGCAGGUAUAAUCUCAAAUUGAAAUGUGCAAUUUAUUGUAUGUCAAUUAUAUCUCAGUAAAGCUGUUUAAAAGUAAUAAUAAUGCUGCAAAGUGGUCUGAGGCUAUGUGGCAAGAGAGCCUCCACUUCCAUUUUGGAGUAGACUUUAUCAGAGUGAUAUCAAAGCCCUGCUGCUUGCUUCAUAGUUUUGGAAGACUGUAAGGAGGUGGCUCUUUCUAUUUUUACUACUAUACACUCACUUGUCUUCCAAGAGCCCAGAACAGGAAUUGGAGGUGAGGAGGGGCUGCUCUGUGCACACACAAACCUGAAUGGCAGUCACCACAUUGUACCCA
rnacentral:lncRNA from 1 species